GCAGCAAUGAUGUAACGGUAGCAUUCCAGCCUUCCAAGCUGGCCGUGCGGGUUCGAGUCCCGUUUGCUGCU
rnacentral:tRNA from 1 species